rnacentral:lncRNA from 1 species
UGCUCUCCUUUUUAGGUUCGUGUUCCAACCUAGAACCCAAAUUGGGAGCCUGAGGAAGACAGGAGUGGGACAGGAAACAAGCAAGAUGACAGUCUCUGCUGAAAGAUCUCCAUGGCUCAUUCUGAUUCUCCUCUUUUAAGAGUGUGAAGUAUUACACCGUCCACCUCCACCCAGUGCCUUACGCCAUACUUCGUUAAGGAAAUCUUAUAGGAUUUAAGCAAUCUGAUGGAAAAAACUUGAUAAAACAACUUCCAUCAAAAUAUUUUUCCAAUGACCUCCACGUAAACCAACAUGGUCAGUCUUCUCUCAUAUUACAGUGGAAUAUGUGGACUUCUAUCCCCACCACUUCACUAACUGCUUUUGUUAAGACAGGCGAAACACCUUGCCUUUCUCUUUCUUCCUUGAAAAACACAAAUGGAUUCCAAUAUCAGAUGAGUUGGUCUGGAGGAGCUAUCUUCGCAAUCUUCGCAUGACUGAUUCAUCUCAUCACUGAAGACUCAGCUCAAAAAUCACCUUCUCUCCAUAGAGAGGAUGUCUAUAACCAUCCAUUUAAAAUACUUUCCCCCAUAUAUAAACAUUACUAUCUAUCUUGUAGUCCUUGUUUAUUUUUCUGAGUCAAAUUUAGUAACAAGUGAAAUUAAUUUGUUUAUUUGUGAGAAAUACACUGAGGGAAAUGGUGAAGACAUGGCCUAACUAAGGUGGAGGCCUCAACAGAGGGCACUAGUAGCUAUCGCACAAAUCACAGAAUUUCUCAGGAAGCCCACAAAGACCCUGAAGAACCAAAACGGCAACUGAAG